GAGAAUCAUCUCUCCCAGAUAAUGGCACUCUCAAACAAGGUUCCGAGUUGUUUGAAAGGCUAUUUCUUGGUCAGAAGAUUCUC
ensembl:miRNA MIR488 microRNA 488